rnacentral:pre_miRNA from 1 species
AUGUGUUGGAACUUGGGAAGCAGGUGCUUGAUCCUCUCCCUCAAAGGCUUCCAACAGCAUGAGCUAGUUUUAGUGUCUCAAAUAUUGUCUGUUGAGGCUAGCUCCUGUUCAGAUCUGUUAGAAGCCUCUGUGGGAGAGGAGCAAUCAGCUGCUGAGUGGCACCUCUGAUC